rnacentral:rRNA from 1 species
CCUACGGGUGGCAGCAGUGGGGAAUAUUGGGCAAUGGAGGAAACUCUGACCCAGCAAUGCCGCGUGAAUGAAGAAGGUCUUCGGAUUGUAAAGUUCUUUAGUCAGGGAAGAAUAAAAUGACGGUCCCUGAAGACUAAGCUCCGGCUAACUACGAGCCAGCAGCCGCGGGAAUACGUAGGGGGCAAGCGUUAUCCGGAUUUACUGGGUGUAAAGGGGGCGCAGACGGCAAUGCAAGCCAGGAGUGAAAGUCCGGGGCCCAACCCCGGGACUGCUCUUGGAACUGCAUGGCUGGAGUACAGGAGGGGCAGGCGGAAUGCCUAGUGUAGCGGUGAAAUGCGUAGAUAUUAGGAGGAACACCGGUGGCGAAGGCGGCCUGCUGGACUGUGACUGACGUUGAGGCCCGAAGGCGUGGGGAGCAAACAGGAUUAGAUACCCCAGUAGUC